CAGAAAGUCUUACAUGUGCAUAAUGUUGAGAGUAUCGGGAACGACAAUGCUUGAUCUUCAUUCUUGCUAGAUUGGGCACUCUAUUGUCUAGCUAUAGGUGGGGGUGAGUGUUGUGAUUAUGAUUUGGGAGAAAUUAAUAAAAGAAAAGAAUAGACUCUUUGUGCUUAAGUGAAUUGUUUUAUUGGGAUAAGUAGAGAAGCUUCUAGCUCAAGUGUUGAAAAGUCUUGGCCCUCAGCCUAAAAAAAAAAAAAGGGAAAAAGAAAAACGAAAAAAAAAGAGAAAAGAAAAAAAAGAAAAGAAAGAAAAGGGGGCUAGCAAAGUUGUUA
rnacentral:lncRNA from 1 species